GGGGGGAAAAAAUGGCAAGGUGCUUAUGUAACCCUGCCGGGGGAAGGGAAGGCCGCUGGCAGGUUGCCUUGCUUGUCCUGAGUCAGAUCCCGCUUGGAGGCUUCUCCACUACCUGGAAGCCCUUGGCUCAGGUGGCCCAGGGGGAGACGCUGCAAUCUGCAGGCCUUGGACACCGGGGUCCCCCAUAGUGUCUUGUUCUGGCCUCCGUUCACGUGGCAAUGGAAGUGACCGAGGAGAGGUGUUUCCGGUGCUGGACGCUGAAGCUCAGCUAACGGUUCCUCUUCCGUAGGAGGCAGAAGAGGCGGAAGCUGGAACAGAAAGAACAUUUGUCAUCUAGGACACCUUGCUGCCCAAAUGUGACGGGCAUACCUUUUCCGAGAAAGGAAGAUUUCUGGGGCCUAUUUGUGCAAAGCAGAUGUCUAAAGUCCCGACCCCUGUGACUGGCCCACGACGUGACCUUCAAGCAAGAGCACCUGAGAAGAAACAGGGUCUCUGUGACGGUCCUCUGAGCCCCUUCGUCUCUCCUGUUUAUUAUCUCCACCCGAAGACGGCUGGACACGCGAGGCUUUCUUCGUGGGAAAAAUGGGGUGAAAAUGUUUGCUUUUGGCCUUUCCUGCACAACCAAGGUGUUCCUGUGAAACCAGGUUCACCUGGUUAGUGCGCAUGGGGCUGCUCCAGGACUGGCUGGGAACUGCAGAAUCGGUCGGAGGAGAACUGAGGGGAGAGAUUUUGAGUGACGUCCUUGGCAGAAGGUAAGAAGGGUUCAACGAUACACUUGCAGGGCUCCUGUCUAAUCUUGAUGUGAACGCGUCUGUCAAAGGCACCAUUAUAUCUCUUUAGCUUAAACUGAGUGGCGUUUAGCGAUUAAAGUAAUGGCACACGAAUCAGAACUCAUGUUUUCUGUUUCUGCCUUUUCCGGCUUCUAAGUAGAUUCUCUUGCCAUAUUCACUCUAAAGCCCGAUUUCCAUUUAUAAAGCAAUUAUUUUUAUCCUAGGGGAUGCAGUAAAACCUUGUUAAUGUUUUUAAUAGCCUGUGAACUCUUCAGAUGAAAAAGCCUGCCCUGUUUCCCUCCUAUACUUAGGAACCAAGAACCCGAAAGCCCUCUUAAGCAACCUUUUGUCUUUACCCUUAAAGACCAUAUGUGGUUACACAAACCAGACGAUCAGUUAUCGAAUUAAGAAACAAACAAAAAAAUAAAUGAUGCCCAAACUACA
rnacentral:lncRNA from 1 species